rnacentral:rRNA from 1 species
AGAAUCAACGCUGGCGGCGUGCCUAACACAUGCAAGUCGAACGAGAAAGGGGCUUCGGUCCUGAGUAUAGUGGCGUACGGGUGAGUAACACGUGAAUCAUCUACCUCCGAGUGGGGAAUAACCUAGAGAAAUCUGGGCUAAUACCGCAUAACACUUACGAGUCAAAGCAGCAAUGCGCUUGGAGAGGAGUUCGCGGCAGAUUAGUUAGUUGGCGGGGUAAUGGCCCACCAAGACGAUGAUCUGUAUCCGGCCUGAGAGGGCGCACGGACACACUGGAACUGAAACACGGUCCAGACUCCUACGGAGGCAGCAGUGGGGAAUUUUGCGCAAUGGGGGAAACCCUGACGCAGCAACGCCGCGUGGAGGAUGAAGUAUCUCGGUACGUAAACUCCUUUCGAUGGGGAAGAUAAUGACGGUACCCAUAGAAGAAGCCCGGCUAACUUCGUGCCAGCAGCCGC